UAUGUGAUCGUCUCUCGCAUAUCAAUAAGCGGAGGAAAAGAAACUAACAAGGAUUCCCCUAGUAACGGCGAGUGAAGCGGGAAGAGCUCAAAUUUGAAAUCUUAAAGGGUUUCCCUUUACGAAUUGUAGUUUAAAGAAGUGUUUUCCUGUUGAGGUUUUGGUAAAAGUUCUUUGGAAUAGGACAUCAUAGAGGGUGAGAAUCCCGUAUUUGACCUUUACUUUCAACUUUGUGAUACACUUUCAAAGAGUCGGAUUGUUUGGGAAUGCAGUCCAAAAUGGGUGGUAAAUUUCAUCUAAAGCUAAAUAUUGGCGAGAGACCGAUAGCGAACAAGUACCGUGAGGGAGAGAUGAAAAGAACUUUGAAAAGAGAGUUAAACAGUACGUGAAAUUGUCAAAAGGGAAGCGUUUGCACCAGUGUUGUUUUUCUGAAAAUCAAUUAAAGAACUGUUUAUGCUAAGUUGUUUAGACUUUAUCAGCUAACUGUUUAGUUUUGAGCUUUUCUUUAAUGCACUUUUCAGUUAACAAGUCAACAUCAAUUUCUUUUGCUGUAAAAAAGCUUGAGGAAGGUGGCUUGAGAUUCGUCUUAAGUGUUUAUAGCCUCUUGCCUAUGCAGUCGGAGAGAUUGAGGUCUGCAGCGUAGAUCCUUCGGGGCUAAAUGCAUUUGUGCUAAGUUAUAGCAUUUUAUAGACAACUUGUUGACUAUGAUUUGUCUUGUAGCUUACUCGCUUAUGUUAUUUUACCUACGCUUAGGAUGUUGAAGAUAUGCGCGACACG
rnacentral:rRNA from 1 species